rnacentral:rRNA from 1 species
GACGAACGCUGGCGGCGUGCCUAAUACAUGCAAGUCGAGCGCAGGAAGCUGACGGAACUCUUCGGAGGGAGGGCAGUGGAAUGAGCGGCGGACGGGUGAGUAACACGUAAGGAACCUGCCUCAAGGAUUGGGAUAGCUCCGAGAAAUCGGAGCUAAUACCGGAUAGUUCAACGGACCGCAUGGUCCGCUGAUGAAAGGCGCUUCGGCGUCACCUUGAGAUGGCCUUGCGGUGCAUUAGCUAGUUGGUGGGGUAACGGCCUACCAAGGCGACGAUGCAUAGCCGACCUGAGAGGGUGAUCGGCCACGCUGGGACUGGGACACGGCCCAGACUCCUACGGGAGGCAGCAGUAGGGAAUCUUCCACAAUGGACGAAAGUCUGAUGGAGCAACGCCGCGUGAGUGAUGAAGGUGUUCGGAUCGUAAAACUCUGUUGUAAGGGAAGAACACGUACGAGAGGGAAUGCUCGUACCUUGACGGUACCUUACGAGAAAGCCACGGCUAACUACGUGCCAGCCGCCGCAGUAA